rnacentral:rRNA from 1 species
UGGGGAAUAUUGCGCAAUGGGUGAAACCCUGACGCAGCGACGCCGCGUGCGGGAUGAAGGCCUUCGGGUUGUAAACCGCUUUUGAUUGGGAGCAAGCUUUCGGGUGAGUGUACCUUUCGAAUAAGCGCCGGCUAACUACGUGCCAGCAGCCGCGGUAAUACGUAGGGCGCAAGCGUUAUCCGGUAUUAUUUGGCGUAAAGAGCUUGUAGGCGUGUCGUUGCGUCUGGUGUGACAGCCCAUCGCUUAACGGAGGGUUGGGGCCGGGUACAGGCGGGCUAGAGUGCAGUAGAGGAGACUGGAAUUCUCGGUGUAACGGUGGAAUGUGUAGAUAUCGGGAAGAACACCAAUGGCGAAGGCAGGUCUCUGGGCUGUUACUGACGCUGAGAAGCGAAAGCGUGGGGAGCGAACAGG